rnacentral:lncRNA from 1 species
ACAUCCAAAACAUCCAUCAUACAAAAAUUCAGAAGCAUUAGAGGUCAUUUAAUAUGGAAAUUAAAUUGCACCAGUAAGACAACCAAAUGUGUGACACAAGUUGUCACACCAUGCAAACAUAUCCAUAAAACAGAAAUGGUAAAUGAGAAAAAGUCAAACCUAAACCAAAACAUCCAGCAAUAUGUCUAGAAUCAUCAUGCA